AUACGUAGGGAGCGAGCGUUGUCCGGAAUUACUGGGCGUAAAGGGAGCGUAGGCGGGAGUGCAAGUCAGAUGUGAAAUACAUGGGCUCAACCCAUGGGCUGCAUUUGAAACUGCAUUUCUUGAGUGAAGUAGAGGUAAGCGGAAUUCCUGGUGUAGCGGUGAAAUGCGUAGAUAUCAGGAGGAACACCGGUGGCGAAGGCGGCUUACUGGGCUUUUACUGACGCUGAGGCUCGAAAGCGUGGGGAGCAAACAGGAUUAGAUACCCUGGUAGUCCACGCUGUAAACGAUGAUUACUAGGUGUGGGGGGACUGACCCCUUCCGUGCCGCAGUUAACACAAUAAGUAAUCCACCUGGGGAGUACGGCCGCAAGGUUGAAACUCAAAUGAAUUGACGGGG
rnacentral:rRNA from 1 species